ACGAACGCUGGCGGUGUGCUUAACACAUGCAAGUGGUGCGACGAACCAGAGCUUGCUCUGGGGCAAAGCCGCGAACGGGUGAGUAACACGUGGGUAAUCUACCCCGAUGACCGGGACAACCCGAGGAAACUCGGGCUAAUACCGGAUGUGGUGCGGAGACAUAAGUCUCUUCACUAAAGGUAGCUUCGGCUUCCGCAUUGGGAGGGGCCCGCGGCCCAUUAGCUUGUUGGUGGGGUCAAGGCCUACCAAGGCAACGAUGGGUAGCUGGUCUGAGAGGACGAUCAGCCACACUGGGACUGAGACACGGCCCAGACUCCUACGGGAGGCAGCAGUGGGGAAUCUUGCGCAAUGCGCGAAAGCGUGACGCAGCAACACCGCGUGAGGGAAGAAGGCCUUAGGGUUGUAAACCUCUUUCAGAUGGGACGAAGGUUCUCCGGUGAAUAGCCGAGAGGAUUGACGGUACCGUCAGAAGAAGCUCCGGCUAACUACGUG
rnacentral:rRNA from 1 species